ensembl:lncRNA
GGGGGAUAAAGGGGUAUUUUUGAAGAGAUAAAGCAUGAUUUUGGGGUAAAUGGGGGAUUUUCCAAGAGAAAAGGCGAGAUUUUUGAGUUAAAUGGGGGAUUUUGCAAGAGAAAAUGGGUGAUUUGGGGUUAAAUGGGGGAUUGUUGAAGAGACAAUGCAUGAUUUGGGGUUAAGGGGGGGAUUUUUGAAGAGAAAACGCGUAAUUUUUGGUUUAAACAGCUAUUUUUGAAGAGAAUAUGCGUGAUUUUCAGUUUAAAUCAGGGAUUCUCAAAGAGAAGAUGUGUGAUUUUUGUUUGAAUGGGGUAUUUUUGAAGAGAAAAUGCAUGAUUUUCGGGUUAAAUGGGGGAUUUCGGAAGAGAAAAUGCGUGUUGUUUGAGAUAAACGGGGGAUUUUUGUAGAGCGAAUGCAUGAUUUUCGGGUUAAAUGGGGGACCUUCCAAGGGAAAAGGCGUGAUUUUCACGUUAAAUGGGGGAUUUUCCAAGAGAAAAUGUGUAAUUUCCAGGUUAAAUGAGGGAUUUUGGAAGAGAAAAUGUGUGAGUUUUGGUUAAAUGGGGGGUUUUCCAGAGAAAAUGCAUGACUUUCUGUUAAAUGGAGGAUUUUUGUGGUGAAAAUGCGUGGUGUUCAGGUUAAAGCAGGGAUUUUCGAUGAGAAAAUACAUGAUUUUGGGGUUAAAUGUGUUUGUUUGUUUGUUUGUUUGUUGUUUGUUUGUUUGUUUGUUUGUUUUUAAGAGAAAACUUGUGAUUUUUGAUAAAUUAUGUAUUUUUGAAGUGAAAAUGCGUGAUUUUCAGGUUAGAUCAGGGAUUCUUGAAGAGAAAAUGCAUCAUUGUCGGGUUACAUGGGGGAUUUCCAAAGAGAAAUAGCCUUUUUUUUCUGG